rnacentral:rRNA from 1 species
AUUGAACGCUGGCGGCAUGCUUUACACAUGCAAGUCGAACGGCAGCACGAAAGAGCUUGCCCUUUUGGUGGCGAGUGGCGAACGGGUGAGUAAUGCAUCGGAACGUACCGAGUAAUGGGGGAUAACUGUCCGAAAGGAUAGCUAAUACCGCAUACGCUUUGAGAAGGAAAGUGGGGGCUCUUCGGACCUCACGUUAUUCGAGCGGCCGAUGUCUGAUUAGCUAGUUGGUGGGGUAAAGGCCUACCAAGGCGACGAUCAGUAGCGGGUCUGAGAGGAUGAUCCGCCACACUGGGACUGAGACACGGCCCAGACUCCUACGGGAGGCAGCAGUGGGGAAUUUUGGACAAUGGGCGCAAGCCUGAUCCAGCCAUGCCGCGUGUCUGAAGAAGGCCUUCGGGUUGUAAAGGACUUUUGUUAGGGAAGAAAAGGAUAGUGUUAAUACCAUUAUCUGCUGACGGUACCUAAAGAAUAAGCACCGGCUAACUACGUG